GAGUUUGAUCCUGGCUCAGAUUGAACGCUGGCGGCAGGCCUAACACAUGCAAGUCGAACGGUAACAGGAAGAAGCUUGCUUCUUUGCUGACGAGUGGCGGACGGGUGAGUAAUGUCUGGGAAACUGCCUGAUGGAGGGGGAUAACUACUGGAAACGGUAGCUAAUACCGCAUAACGUCGCAAGACCAAAGAGGGGGACCUUCGGGCCUCUUGCCAUCGGAUGUGCCCAGAUGGGAUUAGCUAGUAGGUGGGGUAACGGCUCACCUAGGCGACGAUCCCUAGCUGGUCUGAGAGGAUGACCAGCCACACUGGAACUGAGACACGGUCCAGACUCCUACGGGAGGCAGCAGUGGGGAAUAUUGCACAAUGGGCGCAAGCCCGAUGCAGCCAUGCCGCGUGUAUGAAGAAGGCCUUCGGGUUGUAAAGUACUUUCAGCGGGGAGGAAGGGAGUAAAGUUAAUACCUUUGCUCAUUGACGUUACCCGCAGAAGAAGCACCGGCUAACUCC
rnacentral:rRNA from 1 species